rfam:Glarea lozoyensis ATCC 20868 chromosome Tnknown GLAREA5, whole genome shotgun sequence.
UUAAAGGAUGAAUUGGCACUGGGCUCCGACAGUACUCGAAUUCGGGGCUGGCUUAUGAAGGAGAUGCCUCUUUGCGGCAGGCCUAGAAAACCUCGCCCACUGAUC